rnacentral:rRNA from 1 species
UGCAAAACGCGAAGAACCUUACCUACGCUUGACAUGCCAGGAACCUUCCAGAGAUGGAUGGGUGCCCGAAAGGGAGCCUGGACACAGGUGCUGCAUGGCUGUCGUCAGCUCGUGUCGUGAGAUGUUGGGUUAAGUCCCGCAACGAGCGCAACCCGUUAUCCCUAGUUGCUACGCAAGGGCACUCUAGGGAGACUGCCGGUGACAAACCGGAGAAGUGGGGAUGACGUCAAGUCCUCAUGGCCCUUAUGUGUAGGGCUUCACACGUCAUACAAUGGUCGGUACAGAGGGUCGCCAACCCGCGAGGGGGAGCCAAUCCCGAGAAAACCGAUCGUAGUCCGGAUUGCAGUCUGCAACUCGACUGCAUGAAGUCGGAAUCGCUAGUAAUCGCGGAUCAGCAUGUCGCGGUGAAUACGUU